rnacentral:misc_RNA from 1 species
AACAUCGCGCACCUGCGGGAACCUGCGGAGGGAUCAUUACCGAGUUAUACAACUCCCAAACCCACUGUGAACCUUACCUCAGUUGCCUCGGCGGGAACGCCCCGGCCGCCUGCCCCCGCGCCGGCGCCGGACCCAGGCGCCCGCCGCAGGGACCCCAAACUCUCUUGCAUUACGCCCAGCGGGCGGAAUUUCUUCUCUGAGUUGCACAAGCAAAAACAAAUGAAUCAAAACUUUCAACAA